UACGGGGGGGGGCAAGCGUUGUUCGGAAUUACUGGGCGUAAAGGGCUCGUAGGCGGCCAACUAAGUCAUACGUGAAAUCCCUCGGCUUAACCGGGGAACUGCGUCUGAUACUGGAUGGCUUGAGUUCGGGAGAGGGAUGCGGAAUUCCAGGUGUAGCGGUGAAAUGCGCAGAUAUCAGGAGGAACACCUAUUGCGAAGGCAGCUCGCUGGGACGUAACUGACGCUGAGACGCGAAAGCGUGGGGAGCAAACAGG
rnacentral:rRNA from 1 species